UUUGUUUCCAACAUAAUAGUAAAUAGUUUUCUGGAGGAAUAUACAUGUUCAAAUAAAUAUUAUAGCAGCUGUCCAUUGUGCUAUUUUUGAAGAAAGAAAGUCCUACUUCCAAAAGCAUACCAAUCAAAAAAUUUUCUGCCACAAAAUAUCUUGGAAAAAAAUAUCUUUAGUUUAAAUCAUGACUGUAUUCAUAGUUAGGUGGGGGUUAACUGUUAAUAGCUGUUAAGACAGGCUUUGCAGAGAUUUAAAUGGAGAUGGGUCAAAGAAGAAUAAAAGUAAAAGCUGCAGGUGAGAUUCAUAAUUCUCCAGAGAUUGAGAAGGCCUUUCUAUUGUGAAAUCCUAUGUUCACAAGUGUUUUCCUAGAGAAAAAAUUGGACUACCUUCCACUGAAAUGAGUAAAAGGUUCUCUCUCUAGAGAUGCUAACAUUCAUCCUAAUAUGAAUUUUGAAGAGCAUCCUAGGCUCAAAUGUAAAAUCCCUAUAAUGUGAGACUUUCAGGGAGAUUCAAUGAUUUUUAUUUUUCCCCCCUGUACCUGAAGGCUUAUGUUAAUCCAGUCUGUAAAGCCAGGAAUUUAUUGAGCACACAAGGAUGGCAGUCAUUUGGGCUGUCUGUGUUUACUCUGCUUUUGUAAACUGCAUUUAAUGGAGAGUGAUUUCCUGUGACAGCAACAGUAUCUCACUGUAGGAAGUGUGCCAUGACAAUCCUCCAGUUUCUUCUACACAGAGCGGGGCAAGGGUACUUCUUAAUUAAAGGCUUCUUUCUGCUUAUGCUGCAGCAAACCCAGAGAAAGCAGAGCACAUAAUGUAAAGCUCUAGGGGGAGCAUAUCCUGAUUUAGAAGAAAUAUCACUGGAAGACAGAAGGAGAAGGAUGAGAAGGCUAGUUGAAGACACAGUGUUUGAAAGUUUAGUGAUCAAAAGGUUUAGAUGCUUACAAAGCAUCCUAAAAAUUACAAAGAUUGAGCUGUUACAGCACUGCAUCAAGCAACUAGAUCCUAUAAGUGAAUACCGAGUGACUGCACACCCUAGAACAGAGCUUUAUACAUUCUGCUAGAAAGGUUCUAAUUUACUUGUCCUGUAAAAGAAAAAAGGAAAACAAAACAAAACAGCAACAAUAUUAAAAAACAGAGAACAUUUUGUUCUUAACAGUGCAUUAUUAACUCCUUACACCAUUAAUUUCAGAGAUUUAAUACAACUUCAUUUGGUAAUGAAUAAUAAUAAUAAUAAUAAUAAAAUAAUAAAUGGUACAGCA
rnacentral:lncRNA from 1 species